CUCAGAUUGAACGCUGGCGGCAUGCCUUACACAUGCAAGUCGAACGGCAGCACGGGCUUCGGCCUGGUGGCGAGUGGUGAACGGGUGAGUAAUACAUCGGAACAUGUCCUGUAGUGGGGGAUAGCCCGGCGAAAGCCGGAUUAAUACCGCAUACGAUCUGAGGAUGAAAGCGGGGGACCUUCGGGCCUCGCGCUAUAGGGUUGGCCGAUGGCUGAUUAGCUAGUUGGUGGGGUAAAGGCCUACCAAGGCGACGAUCAGUAGCUGGUCUGAGAGGACGACCAGCCACACUGGGACUGAGACACGGCCCAGACUCCUACGGGAGGCAGCAGUGGGGAAUUUUGGACAAUGGGCGCAAGCCUGAUCCAGCAAUGCCGCGUGUGUGAAGAAGGCCUUCGGGUUGUAA
rnacentral:rRNA from 1 species